UACGGAAGGGGCAAGCGUUGUUCGGAAUCAUUGGGCGUAAAGGGCGCGCAGGUGGCUCUGUAUGUCUGCCGUGAAAGCAUACAGCUCAACUGUAUUGUGUCGGUAGAAACUGCAGGACUUGAGGCUGGGAGGGGCUGGUGGAAUUCCCUGUGUAGCGGUGAAAUGCGUAGAGAUGGGGGAGAACACUCGUGGCGAAGGCGGCCAGCUAGACCAGUUCUGACACUGAGGCGCGACAGCGUGGGGAGCGAACAGG
rnacentral:rRNA from 1 species